ensembl:lncRNA
UGUUUGCACAGUCUCGAGAUUGCCUGACCAUGACACACUCCUCAGAACUCAUCCCCACUGUUAAGCAAAGCAUGACUCUACUGCCUUGGAUUCUCCACGGUCCCAGACCCUGCACUGUUUAGAUGACUGCACACGCAGAGGGCACCGUGUCUGAGGCAGAGAGCAGCUGCAAUCACAAAAGCUCUCGACAGAGAGUCAAGGAAAGGCGUGCUCUGCUUACACGACUCUCUACUUUUCUCUGGGUCUGAACCAUUUCCUAGCUAAUCUGCCUUGUUUGACCGAGCAGCUUUGCCAAAAAAAAAAAAAAAAAACGAACACAAAGUCACCAACAAACACUAAACAAACCAAUAUAAACAAUACAUAUUAAAUAAGCCUAACCCUACUAUGCUACUGAAAAGGCUUUUAUUUCCCUGGGAUAAUUUGGACAGCAUUAGAUUGUUUUACCAAGAGCAGCCAAGUCGAGGCAGAUUAUUUCUAAUUCCACAGUGCUGCAGAUGCGGUCAGUAGCAACUGCAAGCCGGAAAGGAAACAAAACAAAGUUGGGUGUAAUCCAUUCAAGUUCACACGUUUCACCAGGGACAGCCUCCAAGCCUUGAAUACUUAGGUAUGCAUUUACCCAUUUCUUUAAUCAACCACUACUAACGCCUACUAAAGGCCAGACACUGCUCUAAGUACUCUACGGAUAUGAAAUAUCCUCUCACCUUUACACUCACCUAUGGAGUGUGUAUGAUAACCAUCCCCGUUUUACAGAUCAGGAAACUGACACACAGAAUGGCACAGUAACUUGCCCAAGUUCACACAGCCCGUAGGUGGCAGAGCCAGGACCCAUUUGACAGAGUCUGGCUCCAGAGGCCACGUUCUGAAUCACCACGCUUAGUCUCCAAAAACCUAGAGAAAGCGCCAGCCUCAAUGGAAAAGUUUUGUCUUCCCCACCCUACAGUCCCUACGCGGCGGCCCCAGUCUCCAGGGCAUUCUUUCAGCUCCUCUGACAGGCCAUCCUCCUCCCUUGCCCUGUCCCAACACUCUCCCGCACAAGUCCUCCUUGUCUUUUAGGCCUCUGCUCUCAGCUUCAACAUCACUGCCUAAGUCACAAAGUCUAACAGUAAAAUGCCGUAUUUCUCAACACUCAACACGAAAGUGCCUUUACGUAUCUCCUAGGUAAUUGGUUGCUGCCUGUCUGUCCUUUCCAACCAGGCUGUGAGGUCCAGUACGUCAAACACCCUGUCAGUCUUGCUCACCAAGUGUCCAGGCCACCAAACACGCACCGACCAGAGGAAAGGAAGGACUUGUCCCAAAGUCAACUCUCCAGACUUUCUGUGGAAGGAGGCAACGAACGGAGCACCCUCGAGCCUCACGCUUUCUCUGCCAGACUUUCAAGUGUGGGACACAUUCCUGUGCUCACAAUGCUCCCCGGACAGCCCCCACUGCACCCCUAACAGCUAGACUUCCGCACAGUCAAGGGCUUUGGAAAGCACUGGCUCUGCACACAAACGUCACGUGGCCCUCGACAGGCCACUUCCCCUGAACCGGCCUGAGCUUCAGGGGCACAACAGGCUUCAUGAAAACCCCAACGGAACGUAGCCUCUAAAGGAGGGAGACCUGCACUCCUCAGAACGCCUCGAGACCAGUGUCCUUAUCGACUUCGCGUCUGUCCCUCCAAGAAGCCAAGACCCCGGGGGCCGCUUCAGCGCCCGACUCCCGGGCACCGCGUCCCCAGGCUGGCCCCGUGCCCGGCACACACCGCCCGUUCCAUGAACGAGUGACGCGCACGAAGAGACC